rnacentral:rRNA from 1 species
GAUGAACGCUGGCGGCGUGCCUAAUACAUGCAAGUCGAGCGAACAGACGAGGAGCUUGCUCCUCUGACGUUAGCGGCGGACGGGUGAGUAACACGUGGAUCACCUACCUAUAAGACUGGGAUCACUUCGGGAAACCGGAGCUAAUACCGGAUAAUAUAUUGAACCGCAUGGUUCAAUAGUGAAAGACGGUUUUGCUGUCACUUAUCGAUGGAUCCGCGCCGCAUUAGCUAGUUGGUAAGGUAACGGCUUACCAAGGCAACGAUGCGUAGCCGACCUGAGAGGGUGAUCGGCCACACGGGAACUGAGACACGGUCCAGACUCCUACGGGAGGCAGCAGUAGGGAAUCUUCCGCAAUGGGCGAAAGCUUGACGGAGCAACGCCGCGUGAGUGAUGAAGGUCUUCGGAUCGUAAAACUCUGUUAUUAGGGAAGAACAAAUGUGUAAGUAACUAUGCACGUCUUGACGGUACCUAAUCAGAAAGCCACGGCUAACUACGUG